CUUGAUUCCUUGAUUUCCCGAGCUUUGUCAGUUCACUUAAUUGAGGAUACUUGCAAUCUCAAGUGUUGUUGUUUGAUGAAUAUGAUGCAUGCAAAACAUAGGAUUGGACGAAGGCCUUAGUGACAUAAAAAAUGAAAGACAAUUUUCUUAUGUUUUUCUUUUAAUUUCAAGACAAUGUAACAAACUAAAAUUUAAUCAAACGAAACUUCAAAUCCAUGUGUUGUGAAACAAUGAUUCUGUUACUACACUCCCCGACGUUUCCGUCGUGGUUUGUUGUUUUACGUGGUCGGGGUGCGACAGAUUGGGUGAUGUAACCCAUAUGCAUUUUUGUUUUCUUCACAAACAAUUAUGUAACAAGUUGUCAUGAUAUAUAUAAAAACUCGGUGAUUAUCUUACACGUUAUUGUUUAUCUCUUUAUGCAUGCCUGAUUGCUUAAUGGUGAAUACCUGA
rnacentral:lncRNA from 1 species